UCCUGUAAUUCUUUAAAAAAAAUGCUAUUUCGUUUGUAAUAUAUUUUGAAUUUAAUCAAAUUGAAUGACUAUUGAUUUGAAUUUUCACUGUUGCAGGGGCUUCAUUUUUUUUAUCGCCGUGUUACAUACAGAAAUAUUUUGGAAAUGACUAAACACUUUUCAACAGAAAUUGAAAUUGAAGUACGACCAAGGCUGACAAAUGUGAUACUAUUGAGUUUCCUAGACACAGUCAUUUCUACCUUGAGUAUUGGAACACAAGCAUGUAAUCGCCACAGAAAAUACCUGAUUGGCUGGCUGGUUGAAACAAAAGUUUAAUAAGUGUUCUAAAUCCCCGCACAGAGCAUAUUACUUACUGCGAACAAACACGGUGUUGACAAAAUGCAAAAGAUAUUCUCAAUGUUGAACAGAAAAGCAACAUGGAUAACUGCUUUCAUGAAAUCCAAAAUAGCUUGUCAACAGGUAGAUGGCAACACUAAAGAGUUAUCUGCCAUGUAGCAGAUGUCUGAUGAAGGGCGAACAGGAAGAGCACCGAGUAAACUCCAGGAAAGAAAGUCUAACCUACUGCCUCAAUCAAACAUGAAUUUGAGUGCUCCAUUUCUACACAAAAUAUAACUUUAUCUGGUGCUGUGAGUUGAAGUAUGGGGAUCUUUUUGGUAUAAUGUCUUGAAAACAAAAUAGAUUCCAUUAGUCUUACUGGGAAUUGCGAUCUUUGAGUUAGAAACCGCAUGUGACAUAAAGUUUUAUGGAGUUUAUGAAACCCAGUUGCAAGAGGAUUCACGUAAGUGAGAUGCAGUGCAGCGCAAUGGUAAACAACAAUGACAGUGAUGGAGUAGCAGCUGUGACUAAGUUGAUGACACUAUACAGUGUGCAAUCUGACAAAUUCCCCCUUCAGCUGUCCUAUCUCAGCAGGCAAAUGAUAGAGAUGCAGAUAAGAAUGACAAACACAACUGAAAUAUUAACUAGCACAAGAUGCUUUUUUGAGGGCAAGCAUAACAGUGUGACCAACCUGUUCUCACUUCCGACUUUUCCAAAUACCAUCACUUGGCCAGAGAACAUCAGCAUCUGAUACCGUCAAACAGACACCCUUCAGUGUCUGUAUGAGGCUCAUGUGGGUUUCUCCAGUAUAAGCCCACCUGUAUCGUAAAUAGACGGUGAAAGCCACUGAUUUGGGAUUUCAGUCAUGAUACUGUGGGUAGGAGGAUUUUCGAAUCGGUCAAAAAAAUUACGACUUUCACAGAGACUACUGUUCUUAAAGUAAAGGUAAACAUUUACUGUUGUCUCGUCAGCCGUUAUUCACAUGACUCAUCGGUCAAUAUUUUUUCAAACCCUUUUUAAUAAGUUUUGUUGCCUAAACCUACAUCUCUCAUGUCAUAUCAUCUAACUUAUUUUAUCUUUGAAUAACUCAGACACAUCUAAAACUGACACUAGAGUGGUACGUAAAAGUUUGAACGUUUAAAGCCUUAGGACAUUGACUGUAGUAGCCAUUUCUUUCUAGUUGGGAGUGGGAUAGAAGUUAACUUCAACAACGCUGGUAACUACAAGAUUAAUUUUUUGCCUCAACCAACUUCCCUUUAAAUAUUUCAUCUUUUGAGAUGGGCCACCCCUGAAAUGGACUCUCGCCAUGCCCCCCAAUACCGGUCUUGAUCUAGGUUGACCCUUGCACAGGGUACUGUACUGGGUGUGUACUUGGCGUCAGCCCCUACGGGAUUGAGGGAAGUUGGCUCUGGCAGUGGCAUUGUGCAUAUUUUUCGACAGUUGUGGGGUACUGCUGGCUCUAGGUAGCUAAAUCCAUUUCAUGAAUAUCCUCGAAGCUUAUGCAGAGUGAGCUAAAAGAAUAUUUGCUUAAUGCGGGAGGUUUACGCCCCGUCUAGGGGAACCUGAGCGACUCCCAAAAAGGACCAGUACUGCAGCCGUAUAGCCCAUUAUAUUUGAGGGUUAUGAUAAUUGUAGAAAUCUGCAUCAGGUUAAGUGUGGCACAAAAACAAUGGACAAACCAAAGGGAGCAGAUCAUCUAGCGUACCUCUCUUCCUUUUGCAAGCUGGCGAGAAAUAAGGAGGCCCCACCAGGCUCUCCAGGUUCCUUCUUAACUGCAGCCUCGCAUCCAAUCACCGGCGAGUCAACAGAGAAACGCAACACCAUCAGGCAGGGAGGUGCACAACAUUCAUUUUCAAGUCAGUCUUUAUGUUUUUUUGUCAUAACGAGUAUGUUGGAUUUUUGGACUGGAAUAAGCUCAAUGUGAAUAGGCAAUGUUUCUAGGCCUCCAGUUUGAAAGGUAUCUGUGCUAUACAACUGAGCAAACCAUCCAAAACAAAAGAAGUAAAAUUGGCAAGUAUCACAGGGGAGGAAUUUCCUCUUACACACACACACACACACACAUGACUGGAGGAAGUAAAAAUGAAAAAAAGCACGGUGACUACAUAGCAGUGAAUGCUAGCGGUAAUGUUGAGUACUUCUAAAGGCUGGCGCAUGCUUCCGCGUCUGCGUCGUAGCGUCGACACAAUUCAUGGUUGUGUUGCAGAUCAAUUCACCUCCAGAACAAUAGGUGGAGUAACGUGUUUUUGUUGAAAAAAACAUCUUUGUGUGUGGAAGUCGUUGGUUUGUUUAUUUAUUUAUCAGAGACUUUAUUGCCCCGUGCAUCGCCACUGCUGCUUUUCAUCGCGGGCACAUUUGUCCCGUAUUUUCCUCCACAACUUUGUUCACUUCUCGACCGGCAAACCGGCGUUUGCGGCGAUCUCCCUCCAUGAACACUGCAUGAAAAGUGAGAUUUUCGUCAUCGUAAACGCCCGGAAAUCUCCCUAAUUUCCGACAAUUUGCAACCCGCGCACGUCGCGUUUGUCUGUGCCACAAAUUGUCGGAAACGAACCAUGACGUAGGUGGAGAGCUGGCGGAGGUGCGAAUGGCCCGAAUUAGCAUAUGAAUGCAGCGAAACCGCGGGUGGCCGAGCCGAGUGGGCUUGAAUAUCCUUACUCCUUAUUUGAUGAAACCACAACUUACUAACAAAUAAAAUCACUCGUGAUUGGCAGCAAAACCACACGUGGGCAGGCCAGGCUAGAGUUUCCUUGUUCAUGAUUGGAUGAAAACAACUUUCAAUCACUCGUGAUUGGUUGGCAGAUCUGUCGCUAUUGGUCACCCGCCUCAUUUUAUUUAUAUAUUCAUAUUAUGCUGUAUAUUCAUUUCAUGGUUAUCCUAUGUAGGCUACUACACUAUUAUUAGGAUACCAACCAGGACAUCAAUGAAUUCAUAGAGAAAAUGAACAUUUGCCACAUGUUUAUGCAAAGAAAGAGCUUUAUUAACAACACACAAACAACAACUACAUACAAAGUGAGGAUCUGCCCACACUUGGGUAAAGGCGGUUUAAAAACUACAGCUCAGUAAACUGUCCGUUUGCCUCCUCGGGGUUGUUGACCGUCACUGGCGCCGUGUUUUCCGAGGCAGGUCUGUUGUGCAGGCGGCUCGUGUGCGUGUGGCGACCGUACAAUCCGCCCCGAGACCCCGCCAACGACGCCGUCCCCUCCGUCCGACGUGAGCUCCACGGUGGCGGAGUUCCAGAGUUCCACCUCGUCAUCAGCCAGCACACUUUGUCUCGAUUCCAGCAGUUGUAAAAACAACAAUGAAUCAGUACUGUGCGAUGCGAUGCGUACGGAUACAACACAUCGAUCAAUGCACCUGAAAAAAAGUCGGCAAAUAAACUCUGACCCUCUUUCUUCUCGCUCGACUCUGCGCUGAAUCCUUCGCAGCUUCCGCACGUAAUGAGUGUUCCGCCUGAACCUGAAGCUCCUGCGUCCCGCCUCACAAUACGUCUCACAGGCGGCUGGAAAACAAUUAAAUGAGUGGUAUGAAUACAAAAAAAAUCAAACGCAAGUCACAGUAGCAUUUAACAAGGAAGGAGAAACAGUGUCACUUACACACAAUGACGUCGUCUAAAUCUGGACUUUUCCCGGGGCAAAUACGAGGUCACCGCCUCAUUGUGAGGCGAGAUUAGUCUGUGAAAACAAAAUGUACAGUUAUGAUCGGUAUCUAUACGUAUAUAUUUCCUUAUAGCGCAGAAUGAAAGCAUAUUCUGUAAAUCUGACCCUUGCUCCGGUUCGUAGCGCCUGUAGUUCGUCUCGGAGUUGUGGAGAAGGCGCACCGCUUCCUGUAAACGACACGGCAAAGAAAACACACUUUAAUAAAGCUGUUUCUACUCACUUCUAAGACUACUAGGCUGUAUCAGUCAUGCCUAUGACCUCACACGUGAUUGGACGAGGAGUCUAAGGGUCCUCCAAUCACAUACGAGGUUAUUGUUAUACGGAAGGAUCAGUAUUUUAGGAAGACAAAUGGUUGGGACUUUGAAACAGCUGAUAUGCUUUAUGUAAAGCAGUGUUUUGGUGUCAGCAGAACGACUUUCCCUAGAAAUCUGUACAGUGGUGCCUCUUUCUCCAUUCCACCAGACACUCUAGAGUCUGACAGACAUGCAAUGUUGACAAUGUAUCAUCAGAUGUACCCUUGUGUCACUGAGGUUGAAUGUUUUGCCAUGACAUGUAAACGGGUAACAUAUAUGAAUGUAACUUACUCAAUCGAUAGAUGCAGAGCAUAAAGGUCAGCAUGUGUUCAUGGUGUGGAAAUACUAACAGUUUUGAGGAACCCGUCCUUGACCGUCUAGCAGAACUACGACCAGCCAUUAUAAAGCAGUUUAUAGUUGUUAAUGUUGUGUCAAAGGGUACGGCAUUGAAACAUGUUCUUGCACAAGUUUCCUGGCUUCAUCUCCACCCGGACAGACAUUUUUAUGGAAAGCCAAUAGAAGUUUGGGGCUUGCAGGGAACGCAAGCCCCAAACUUCUAUUGACACGUCGUACCCAGCAUCAUUUCUGCCAGUUGAGCGCAUUGCUAGAAGAUGUGUGGUUAAUACAUCCUCUGUGCAUUUAAGUAAGACCAAAGAAAAGGUCACUGUAGUCCUGCCACUAUGCACUGUAGUUGAGCUCUAGGAGACUGUGAUCUCUGCAGACCCCUCAUGCUGAUUCAAUUGUUGUUUGCAUGGAAUGCUCAUUUUACCUUGAUUAAAACAAAUUUUUUAAAGAAGUUAUUUUGUGUAUCUUUUUUACAUAGCAUUUGCCAUUGCUAAUGGCGUGCACAGUAAUCUAGCAUAUUUGAAUUAAAUAAAUCAAUUCAAGAUAAAAUGUAAGAGUCUAUAAUUAGGCUACUGAGCCUGAUCUAUUUGUACCAGAGAUUUUCUUACCUUUUAAAAAAAUGUCACCUGGGCUAAAACUCCCUCUGCGACCCUGAUUUGCAUUUGUAUAGCUCACAGCAUUUUCAUUUACAUGUCAAAGCCUCCCCUAGAAAUAGGAGGAGGGGGGUCAUGGGGGGACAACUGCCAAGGGAGGCCCACGUCAAUUUCUGACAAUUUACGGCAGUUUUCGGCGUUGCCCGCAAAUUGCCGCAAACCUGAAAUUCCACGACAAUUUACAGUGCCGCAUACUGCCGAAAAUCCCACUUUUCAUGCAGUGGAAUCCAACCCGCUUCUACAACCCGCCAAUGACGAGUUGUAGAAGUGGUCAUAUUUACACAUUUCUCCGUAGAGGAUGUAGUUAGCAGACCAAUCGCAGCCUUGUGCGCUGCGGAAGGCUUGCGUCGAAAGCGGCAGGGACACGCAAGGGGGUUACUGAUAUGGCAAUGGUGUGGCUAUGGCCAGAAAAAGAGCAUGGUUACAGUUUUAGUUACACACUAAAAGGUUUGGUUUAGGUAAAGGUUAGGCCACUAAAUCAUUUGAAUGAGGGUAAUAAAAAGGUUUGUGAUGGGGUGUAAGAAAAUGACCUCCGCAUAUUUACUCUGUGCUUCUUAGGCAUACCUGAAUUAGCACAUGACAUAUAAAUCGUCUGAUAUGACCACAAUACUUCACAUUUACAAUUUUUUUCAGAAAGCUGGGUAAGGUGUAUUUUUAAUACGUAUUCUAACUUUCGAUCAUUUACGCCCCACCACUUCAAACUCUGCAGGCAUAGCAAAGGUGAAGGGGCCUGGGUUUGGCCACACACGCGCACAAACACAUACAUGCACAGUAUUAAAAAGCUCAUAAGUCAGAAGUUGUACAUCAGUACACACGGCUGAACAAAGGGACUCACUUGAACAGGCUAACAGGCAUUUUGAUAAGUUUGAAAACACUGCUUUAAUAGCCAUUUCAACAUAUUUCUUCACACCGUUUGCACAAGCAAUCUCUUGAAUUAAUAGAGUAACAAGGACAGCUGUUCUCUUGCUUUUGUGGUUGGGCUUCAAACACUAACCACCAAUAUUUUUCACAAUGACGCCGAAUAGUUGCUUUCAGUUUGAAAAACAAUAACCCGUUCAAAACCCACAUAUACAUAGUGGGUUUUUUUCGUGCAGAGUGAGGUGAUUUAUUUAAAUGCUAACUUCAGAAAGCGAACAUGCUCACAGUGACAAUAACAUGUUUCCGAUAAUAGGGCAUAAUAACCAUAUAAUUAUCUUGGUUUAAUAGUGGUGGAAUUUAUUCAUCUAAAGGGGCGUAAUGCGAGAAUUGGAACGUUUCUAUUGCAGUUUAACGGCUUUUAACAUGUUGACUGCUGAGCUUGCUGCUCCCAACUAACAGUGAACACAAUGGCAACAGUGCUGAUAGUGCCAACAGUGUUUCUCUGAGAGGACGCUGUGUAGUUGUACCAAAGCAUUAUCAUACGAGGCUAAAACAAGAUGUUUCAUUGACUUUACGUAUUAUUUAACAAAAGAAAGAUAAUGAAUUUGUUUUAAAUGUUGCAAAAAUACAACUUGCCUUAUUUACAAGUGUAAACCUAGAAACAUAAUGAAAUACAUAUGCAUCUCUCGCAGAUGAUUUGUAUAAUCAAAAAGCCAAGCGUAAAUUAAUCUAACGAGUAUUCCAGACUAAUUGAAAUACGAGAGGCUGUCAAGCCGUAGUAUAACUGUCUCAAUUAAUCAUUGUCCAUUUCCUCUGUCCCUGUGAUAAUUGAGGCUAAUGGUCCACAUGUGUAAACUACAAUUUUCAAUUAUUUUGCCUCCCAAAACCGUCAGUGUGUAAGUGUUUAUAUGAAAGUGAAUUUCCCACAACAGUAAUUGUUUGCAUGAGUUUAAUGAUCUAAAUGUCUGUGGUCAUACAUUAACUUAAUCUUUGUAAAUUGAUUUUUCUUUCUGUAUUUGUCAGAGAGAGAGAGAGAGAGAGAGAGAAAGAGAGAGAGAGAAUUGUGGUAUCAAUAAAAUAUGAUGUGGCAACUGCUUUUUUACAUCAUUUAGUAACGAACAAUCUCCUCAGCAGACCAGAAUCGGUGUGUCAGAAGUCGCCUUCUCCUGCAGUUUACUUAUUCAAAAUUCUUUCACAUUAGCAGUGGUUGUGAGAUUUGUCCUGACUUUCAGAGCAUGCCGCCUCAGUGAAAAACUAGGCCCUGUAUUUGGGCCAACUCCAUCAGCUUCUACACUCACAGCUGUCAGGGAUUGAAGCUCCGCUGUUCUUGAAGUUGAAGUUGCAACUCGAUCCCAAUGAGUUGCUUGAAUACGAAUAAAAUUGCUUUGCCUGAACUGUGGGUCGAAUAAAUGAAAAUCUCAAUCGCAGGAAUAGACACCGUUGCCCAAUGAACAGUGCAGUCACGUUCCUUAAUAUACUGUAAGUUUAAUAUUCAAAUAGGACACGGAAAUUGACAGCCUGAAAAGUGAGGCUCUCACUUUACCGCUUGAUGCAUGUUCACACUCUGAAAAUAACCACCAUAUGUUUCCUCCAUGGCGUGUCUGGGGCUCCCCCUCAGGGACAGGGCGAGGAGCUCAGACAUCCGGAGGGACCCCCGGAGGCUCCUUCGGAUUGAACCGCUGCUCCUGUUGUGCUGCAAAGAGACAGACGAGGCAAUUCAAGAUGCCUUGCGGAAGUCUUCCUACGAAGGUAUUUCAGGCAUUUCCAACUGGGAAAAGACCUAAGGCUACACUCUGAACAAGCUGAAGGGAUAGUGCUCUUUCUGGCCCAGGAACCCCUUGGGAUUCUCCAAAGGCUGAGGAGGAGGACAUCUGCUUAGCCUGCUGCACCCAUGACCCAAAAAAUAUGCUGAAUACAUCCAUUUGAACUCCAAUGCUGUAACUACUAGGAUACAUCUUCCAAUUAAAAACAACCUUUGCUGCAACAAAGCAACAACAACUGACCUGUGACCAGAUUUCACAGCUGUGUUUUAUGUUGUUGUGUCGCUGUCACCUUGGAUUUUGGAUGACCACAGCUCCAGCUGGUGUCAUGUCAAAGUAUGAAAUUCUUAAUUUGGAACUGCAUCGUUAAUGUGAAGUUCAAGAGUGAGCAAGAAAUUACUCACUAUACUGCAAUGAUAUUCUUUCAAACUGUGGUCUUUUAAAUCUACCAUAUUGUGCGUGGUAUGUGUAUGCAUUUUGAAGGGUGAGCGGCUAAACUUUUAUAUCUGUAAACAGAAUACAGCUCCUUGCUUAUUAAAUCCUUAAAUCCUUGCUAUCAUUCUCUCGGUGAUUAUGUUAUACAACAGGGUUUGUGAUCUGUUGAUGAUAUUUAUCUUUUGUUCAUUCAGAUAAAACCUGGAGCGGAUGAAGUGAGUUUUUGAAUGGGAUCAAAUUGCAGUCUUUCUACCGAUGGCUCCCUAAAUGGAUAUCUCCAAGAAGUGUGUCAGACAGCCGCUCACUGCUUCCUCCGCCUUCCUUUCUCAUGAGAGGAAGCUAUCUGGGCCAUGCCUGGGCACCUCUAAGAGAGAUUUCUCUCCCGCAGCACCCAAGCCAUGUGAGUGGGGAUUAUUCUGCAGUGGCCUUUUCAUCGGUGGCCUCCUGUGGGCACUUCCGCUGGGCUGGGACAGAUUGGUGGCAGCGAGGGGUCGACAAACCUUUACACCUUUUCCUAUUGUCUGCCCCACCGUUGAAUGUUGACCCCAUGAUGGAUUUUUAUUUGAAGUGUUGGAAGUGCAGCCCUCAAACCGAGCAGAUGUCUGAGGAAUGUCUUUUUCUGCUACCAGACUGUGAUGCCGGUAAAUGGUGUUUCGGUCAAGUAAAAAAGUUCCUGACCUUAAUAUAAAAAUGUAAUCCUGAGAGAGAAUAAGAUAAAACAACAUUUAAAAUCCAAACAUAUAUUAACACCAUAGUAAAAGCAGAAAUGAAAUAGAUAUAGAUGGGGUUAAGUCAUUCAAAUAAGAUGAUGACUUUGACCAGUUGAGAAAGAAUUUGUCACGGUGUGCUUCACGUUCUGUAUUAUUUUGUAGUUUCCUGCCACUCGUGUCCCCGGGUAACUUCACUUCCUGCCUUGUCCUGUCAUCCCCUGUGAUCGUCUGAUAGUUUCCACCUGUGUCCAAUCACCUGCACCUCCCUAGUGUAUUUAAGCCGUGUGUCUCUUGUGUCACUGGUCGCGUCAUUGUCUAUCGUCCUGGAUGUUCCGAGUUCCUGCCUGCCUUUUUGCCCCCUGUUCCUGAGUGUGUUUUUGCCCCUUGGCCUUUUGUUUGUUGCCUUUUGACUAUUGAAGUCUUCUUUUGUUAUUUGACGUCUGCGUUUGAGUCCUGCCUCCCACGCAUCCCGUGACAGAAUUGACCAAUCAGAGCUGGUAGGUAACAAUAAGUAUAGUAUAAGUAUACAUUCAUAAAAUAUAAUGUCGGAGAACUGGUCUCUUCAAAUCGCACGCAGUGACCAUUCAGCCAUUUUAUGAAUCUAGCUAGUUUGAGAAGAUGCCACACCACAACCAAACAUCUAACCUCUAGAAUAAAUAAUGAUUGAAAUACAUAUAAAAGCCUUACUUUAAAACUGUAUCUGACAUUCAAACUACAAACAGGGUCAACAUUUUCAACCUCGUUUGCGUCCUUGCUAUGUGCAAGACAGAUUCUUCCACAGCCCUGCUGGCCAAAAAGGGAAUCACUUGAUGCAUAAUAAUACCAAUACAAGUACAGAUCGUUUUUUCUUCCUCUCUUCCUCGUUGUAAAACUAUACACCAAAAUAUCAAAGAAGAUUUGGUGUUCAAGCCUUUGUUUGCUUUGAGUCAGUACAACACGUCCCCCACCAGGAUGACUUUGCAGGUAUGUGUGCGACAGGGAGUCGAUUCUGUAAAGCAGUGGGGGGGUAGAUCACAGAAGCUUACCUGCACACCUUUGAUGCAGCACCAGUGAGGUCCACCCACAGAACUAGAGAGCAAAAAAAAAGCUACACAUGAUAGUAUGUAUUAUUUCUUUCCUGUCCAUCUUAUUUCCCCAACUAUUAGUUUGUUGUGACAGAGGGAUGAUGUUGUACAGGGCAGGAUCCAGAUCUAUGUACGUGGAAAAAAACAAAAACAAAAGCCUGACAAAUCUGGUAUCUCAUCCUUCCUCAGAGCAACCUCCGGACCGGCAGGACAGAGCCUGUCUUGUUGUUCCUAUAGCAGAACCAUACUAUGUGCCCUAAUGAGAAAAAUGAUACCAAUUAGUACUACAAACCAAAGUGAAUCUGAUCAGAAUGUCCCAUUUUAUGUAGGAAGCACAAGUUUCAUCUUUUUUUUGUCUUCACAACAAGCCAACAUUCCCAGCUUGUGAUAAAGAACAAAGUUACAGAAUAAAUAGAAUCCGAGAUGGUGAGAGUCAGAGAGGGUGAUGCCUGCUCCCCAUAUUGAUGAAAUAAAUGAUCAUUAUUGCUGCAUAUUAUUGUUAGUGCUGUGUGCAUCUAGACUUCAUCAAUAUAAUGUCCUCCGUUUCACAAUAACUCUCACGCAAAGGUUAGUGGGCGCACUAUUGUCAACAUGUCCCCUUUAAAUUUAGGUUAGCAAGUUAAUUUUAAUCAAGCUGGUGCUUUGCACUUUUCUGUCAAAUAAACUCUGUUGCAUAGCAACAGCAAUGACCUAACACUGCUUGUUUUAGCUGGAAAACAAAAUAUGCCCAUGCCAUCCCAGCCUGAACACACACUGAUGAAAUAAAAAUAAAAAGAUUCCAUUUGAUGACAGUUAUUCGUAUGUUUACAUCAUUAUCUGGGGUAAUCUGCGAGGAGAUCAGAGAUCAGGUGAUAACCGUGAUACUGAAGGAAUGUUUUUAUGUUGUGAGGCAUUUGUGAAAUCUCCUUGGUUAUUGGGAGGUUGCUCUAUACAUUUGUGGGAUUCAAGUUUAAACUGCUUUUCACAUUGAGUUUCAUUGAAGCGCAUGCAGUCUUGUGGAGAAAGCACAGCAUAUUUUUGAUCGACCAGAUUAAUACGGACAGCAAAGGGAAACUAUCAAUUAAAUUAAGCCAACUGCUAGGAUGCAGGUUGCAAGUAAAAGACAAAAGCACAAUCAAUGGUCUCCUUGUGUGGUUUUUACAGAGACAGGCUAAUGGUGUUCUGAGGGAGACCGCAUUAGUCGGCCUUGUUAAAGACUGACCUGAACUAAUUCAGUGGGAGUGAGGUUGAUGAAGCAGCGAGAUUUGGAAAAUAAUUAUGACUCGGUCAGAAAAUCUUAAACUUUUCCAAGAAAACCAUAUUCAGGGAUGCAAAUCUGACUGUUGUAUUAUUCGCUGUCACGGUUUGGGUUCAUGUCUGGGUUUAUUUCGUAGUUUCUUUCCUCUGUUCUCCCUGGGUCACGUCUCUUCCUGCCUUGUCCUGUCAUCCCCUGUGAUUGUCGUGUCAUGAUUGUUUCCAGCUGUUUCCAAUCACCUGCCCCUCCCUUGUGUAUUUAAGCCAUGUGUGUCUGUCACUUGUGGCGUCAUUAUUUAAUGUUGGUGGUCCGAAGUGCAUGCCAUUGUUCUAGAUCCUGCUCUUGUCACAGUAUUAUGACCACGUUUUUGCUUCUUGGAAUUUUUGAGUUUUGACUAUUAAAGUCCCUUUUUGUUUCUGGAAAGAUCUCUGCAUCUGAGUCCUACCUUCUCUCUUCCCUUCGCACGGACCCCGCCCUGACAUAAUGACGCCACCUUCCAAGGACUCAGCAGAGUUUUUUUCCCCGACCCAGUGCCGUUUGUGCCAUCCUCCGAUCUCCUGGUCUUCAGGCGGGGGAUCGUACUGAGAGCAGUUGAUGGACCUCGAGUUCCAACGCCAGGCUUCUACGGCCCCGAUCCCCCCCGGUUCCGGCCCCAAGACUCCAGGCCCCGACCCCGCCGUUUCCGGCCCCAACGCCUUCGGUUCCCCGCUCCUUGAUUGAGGCCCCCUCCCCCUCAUCCCGUGGUCCUCUCCCGCCCUCCCCUUGGUAAUUGAUCCGGCUCUUGAAGGGGGGGGCUAUGGCGGGGGCUGAGCCCCCGACUCCGGAGGCUUCCUGUGCCAUGCACACGGCAGCGACGACCCCGGCCCCCCUCGCCAUGCAGCCGGUGGCGACGACCCCGGCCCCCCUCGCCAUGCAGCCGAUGGCGACCAUCAGAGUAGUUGACUCACUGAGACAACCCUUGCAGCCACUGAAAACAGAGCAGGUGUGCCAGUGCUCAAUGAGGAAAAUGACUAAUCCAAGAAGGGAAAGUACUAUUGUCUGUCCUAGGUGUGUGGAGCAGGGCCUGUCUAACUCUAACUAUUGCUUUUACUGUGGUGAAAAAGGUCACAGGGCCGUAGGUUGUCUCAAAAAACCCAAGCACUAGGGAAACUGGAGCCGGUUGCUGCAGUGGGGCGCCCAGUAAGCAAGACUCAAACGUCCCAGUCAAAUGGUGUCAGUGGAAACCAGACUUUCACGAGAAGCUUCACAGAGACAAAGAACUCACGAUCUACUCCUAAGUAGAUUGUGCAAAAGGGAGAAAAGGACAGAGGGGGGUCUCCACAGGAACCAGUGAAAACACAAAUUGAACAAAUUGCAAGAUUAAUCGGUAGCAAAGCCAUAAUCCAAUGUUACCUAGACGGGCUAGCUGUACAUGCUUUACUUGAUACAGGGGCUCAAGUCAGUAUGAUUGACCGGUCCUGGAAAGACAAACACCUACCUCAUCUUGAGACCCGGCCAAUUGCUGAACUGAUGUAAGAUGACAAUGAGCUCGAAGUGUACGCGGUGAACGGAUGCCUCAUCCCAUUUGAUGGUUGGGUUGCAAUAACACUGAACUUGCCUGGGAAUGAGAAUCCCAAUCAGGGUUCCCUUUUUAGUGAGCACUCUACCUCUAGACAGGCCGCGGGUUGGUUUCAAUGUAUUGGAGGAACUAGUAUUGGGUCAACCAGAGGAUGAAGGCCUGGAUAAAGUGCAGAGUUCCAUCCAACAUGGAUCCAGCGGACCGCCUUGUAUGGUUUGAACCAGAUGAAGACAGCAUGCCAUUAGAACAGCUAGAUGUUGGUGAAGGUCUGCUGGAAGUCCAAAAUCUGAAUCGACCAUAUUUAGUUGUGCCAUUAGGAAACAACACGAAACAUGACAUCACCAUACCACGGAAGACCGCUCUGGGUAGUAUUCAACCAAUUGCUAAAGUAGUUGAAGCUUACUCUGCUGACCAGGACUCACAGGAUCAAUCUACUGGUGAAAGCCCAUCAUUCUGGCACCCACCAGUUGAUGUCAGCCACCUAGAAGAGGAACAGCAAGAGGCAGUAAAGAAGAUGUUAUAUGAGGAGUCAGCAGCUUUUGCACAAGAUGGUGAUAAAAUCGGCUCUAUCCCAAGUCUGCAAAUGUAAACAUACGGAUACAUUGUGUUUCUUGUUUCUCUUUCACCAGAGAGCUCUUGAACAACCGUGGAACAACUCCAGCGGAGUUAUGUAGGAACCUACGCCAGGAUCCUGUCUGUUGACUUCAGCUCUGCCUUCAACACUAUCAUCCCGUCUCUGCUGCAGGACAAACUCUCCCAGCUGCACGUGCCCGACUCCACCUGCAAGUGGAACACAGACUUCCUGUCUGACAGGAAGCAGCACGUGAAGCUGGGGAAACAUGUCUCAGUCUCCCGGACCAUCAGCACCGGUUCCCCCCAAGGCUGCGUUCUUUCCCCUCUGCUCUUCUCCCUGUACACCAACAGCUGCACCUCCAGUCACCAGUCCAUCAAGCUCCUGAAGUUUGCGGAUGACACCACCCUCAUUGGACGGAUCUCUGGUGGUGAUGAAUCCGCCUACAGGUGGGAGUCUGACCAUUUGGUGUCGUGGUGCAGCCAGAACGACCUGGAGCUCAACUCUCUAAAGGCCGUGGAGAUGGUUGUGGAUUUCAGUCACUAUUGUGGAUUCCUUCCGUUUCCUGGGCUCCAUCAUUACCCAGGACCUCAAGUGGGAGCUGAACAUCAGCAAGAAGGCUGAGCAGAGGUUGUUCUUCCUGAGGCAGCUGAAGAAAUUCAACCUGCUAAAGAUGAUGAUGGUUCACUUCUACACGGCCAUCAUCGAGUCCAUCCUCUGCUCCUCCAUCACCGUCUGGUACGCUGUAGCCAAGGACAAGGGCAGGUUACAGCGCGUCAUCCGCUCUGCAGAGAGGGUGAUCGGGAGCAAUCUGCCGUCCCUGCAGGACUUGUUCGCUUCCAGGUCUCUGAAGCGAGCUAAAAAGAUCGCAGCCGACCCCUCUCACCCCGGACAAAAACUGUUCGUGCCCCUUCCAUCUGGCAGGAGGCUGAGGUCCAUCAAGACUAAGACCUCCCGCCACACGAACAGUUUCUUCCCGUCGGCAGUCGGGCUCAUCAACAGAGCCCGGUCCCCCACUGACUGACUGACAUUCCACCGGUCACUCUGCUUCAUACUGCACAUGUCACUUUAACUGUCAUUUUUCACUCGUUACUUUGUCGUCACUUGUCACUUUUUCGAUAGUGCGCUUUUAAAAUUUUUUUUUAAACUUUUUUAAAUAUUUUUUUUAACUUCUCUUAUUUUAUACUAACCCAUAGCCUUAUUCUACUAACCCAUUGCAUUAGCAUUUAAUUUUAUUUUAUUGUGCACUGCUGUCUUGUUGUCUAUUGUUACACUGUCUACUGUCACUAACCAACCGCCAAGACAAAUUCCUUGUAUGUUUGACAUAUUUUGGCAAUAAAUGUUCCCUGAUUCCUGAUUACAUCUGAGCAGGGGCAAUCCUUUACCAGCAGCAAGAAAAAAAGUUGAGGGUCAUUGGUUAUGGAUCAAGAACUUUGACACCUGCAGAGAAAAAUGAUAAUCUACAUAGUGGGAAGCUGGAAUUUCUCGCCUUGAAAUGGGCAGUGUGCGAGAAGUUCAGGGAUUACCUGUAUUAUGCCCCACAUUUCACAAUCUACACAGACAACAACCCCCUCACCUACAUCAUGAGCACAGCAAAGUUGAAUGCUGUUGGACAUCGUUGGGUCGGAGAACUCUGUGAUUUCCGUUUUGAUGUGAAGUACUGGCCUGGGAAAGUUAACAUUGAUGCAGAUACAUUGUCUCGUAUCCCGUUGGAUAUUGAGCAAUACAUCACAUCCUGCACUGAGGAGCUUUCCCGAGAUGUUAUCUGCACGACUUUGGAUGGGAACAAAGCAUCUCAAAAGAAGGAUGUUGCUUGGAUUGCUGCUUUGCAUAUCACCUCUCUCAACAACACACGCCUAGAGUCGCGUACGCUCCUGCCAACAAUUACUCACGAGGAACUUGUUCGAGCUCAGGGAGAAGACCCCACCAUUGGAGAGGUUGUGAGUCUCAAGGAAACAAGCGCAGUGCCUAACGAUGAGACGCGGAAAGGAGCAAAUCCACUCACCAGAAAGCUCUUACAUGAUUGGAACAAACUGCACCUCGAAAAUGGGAUCCUGUACAGACUGCCUGGUGAAAGACAGCAGCUCGUCCUGCCGGCAAAAUACAAGGAUGUGGCAUUGAAACAUCUUCACGACGAGAUGGGGCAUGUGGGAACUGAGAGGAUGUUACACCUGGCUAGGGAAUGCUUUUAUUGGCCAUAUAUGAAGAGAGAGAUAGAAGACUCGAAAGUGCCCAUGUAUAAAACAAAAGAGACCUGUCACCCACAUUGUUACGCCGCUGGGGCCACAAGGGUUUAGACUCAAAAGCAGACUCAAGGCGUAGUAGUCCGAGGCAAAAAUAGUCUUUACUUCAGGCAGGGGUUUGGUACACGGGUAGUCAGACAGAGAAGAUGGAUCAAUCCAAUUCGGCAGGCAAAGGUUGACGGAGGGACGGAAAAGGGUCAAAACACGGGAAGGCACACUCAGGAGAAUCGCGGGUAAGCUCAUUGGGAACAAAGAGACAAACUGGCACAGAGCAGGAUGUUGGCAUAAAGUAAAUACACAGGAGAACGAGACACAGGUGGAAACAAUAAGGGUGGGGCUUGCAAUCACAGAGGGCGGUGGCACACAGGGAGGAGGUGUCUGAAACGAGAGGGAAAGGUGAGUGACCGAAACACAACAGAAAACAACAUGUGACCUAAUGCCCCAGUCUGGGUGUUACACACAUGCAUGCCCCCAUGGGUAGUAUAACUAGUUCCCCGUUGGGGAAGCUUGUAUGUGUUGACUACUUACAUCUUGAGACUAGUCGAGGAGUGAUAGUUGAUCAUUUCGCACAAUUCGCCCAAGCCUACGCUACAAAAAAACAAAUCUGGACGGACAGCGGCAGAGCGCAUAUAUAAUGACUUCAUACCAAGGUUUGGCUACCCGUCAAAACUACACCACUAUCAGGGCCGUGAGUUUGAGAACUAGAUGUUUCGGAUACUUCAGGGGUUGGUCAUUCAAGAGCGUCGCCAUACCACCCACAAGGUAACCCAGCCGAGCGGUUUAACCGCACCUUACUGCAAAUGUUGCGAACGCUGGCCGACAAGGAGUAAGAGCGCUGCAAGGACCAUCAGCUGUGUGUCAUUUGUGUGUCCGGUCCACAGAAUCAUCAUCUGCCUACUUGGUACCAAUCCUGGUACCUAUAACACAUGCAGUGGUUCUAGACGCAAUUAACAGCAGUUUUUAGUUGUUGUAACAUGUAAGGGUUUCUUGUGUUACUUGCCAUUCAAAGUCAACGAGGACCUGUAACCUUUGGUUGGAAUUAUAGGUAAAUUACAUGAUUGUGCUCAAUUAAGACCGGUGCCAUGGUGUCCCAGGUCUUAGUGUGCAUAGUAGAGAGAUUCAAAAGGAGCUCGGGAGCCCUAGAUGAUAUCUCAGAGUACCCCUACUUUGAUCAGGGAACACACUUUCCACAUCCUUUUUUUAUAGCUGCCAAACAUGGGAGGAAGAGGUUUUCACUUGCCUGAAUCUACUGUUGAAAGACAUGAAUGUCGAAAAACGGUUAGACAAGUUCUCAGACGAAGCGGGUAAGAACAUCCCACCACAGGCGUUUAUAACUUGACACUAGUUGGUCUUUAAAGCUGCCCAAAUCUGUAGGUUUUUAUGAAUGAAUGGAUUUACGCACGCACAUAAACCUGAUUUGCUGAUUUGUUGGACAAGGUCAAUUUCCUAAUUUGACCUCUGAAGCCUCACACUGUAAAAAAGAAAAAAAACAUUAAAAAAACGGUCAAAUGACUGGCAGCAGCCGCUGCCAAACAAGAAAUGUAAAAUUAAGGUAAUAUAACUUCAAUUCCAACACCUUUUAAUUAAGGGAGUUAUGUGUGUAUAAAUAUACACACAUAUAAUAUAAAUACAAUUUAAUAGCCUACACAUACAACUGAAAACACAUUUGUAAGUCAUCUUUUCCAUUAUUUGCUACAGUACGUUACUACCCUAAAGAAAGUCAAUCAGAAUACUGGCAAAUGAGAACUGUGCAGGCUCACAUUUGAAAAGAGUUAGAGAACAGAAGAGUUAGGUUAGCUAACGUGUCAAAUGUUUUGGAAAAGUCAUUGAAAUUUCUUAUUCUUAUAUGUUCAUGUGGUUGAUUUGAAAUAAGUUUGAAAUAAUUUGUAUGGUUUUAAAAGAGAAACGCUCAAAAUAUAUGCAGGAUGCUCUGAUACUCGCAGCACAAAUAUUUCACACCGUGGUUGUGUGAACGCACCUUAACUGAAAAGUUUGGUGGCUGUAAAAACAUUAUCUCAGGAAUCAUCUACUGUGCCAGGCAAGUGUAGAUUUAACCGUGGUUGGCUACAUAUGGAAAAGUGCAUGUCAUCAGUUACGACAAACAAAGACCCGGGACGAACAGAAUGUAAGUAAUGUGGAGAAAACAUUCUAUAUUUCAAACAUGGGAGAGGGCAUUAUCGAGGCCAUGCUAAAGGAAGCAGACAUCAGUAGGCGACUGCUACCAGAGCUACUACAGAAACUCCAUCAGAAGGCGACUGCUAGCGAAGCUACUACGCCGAGCAUCACGCCUUUCUCUUCAGCCACCUACUCCGUACGCAACAGCAACAUUUUCCGAUGCACAAUACCCGUCUGCUGGCGGGUUGUAUACCAAGGGUGUAGUGGCGUUCCUUCGAUGUUGUUUGUCAUUUGGAGGUGUUGAAGUGGGAUCUUAUUUUGAAAGCCAGAAUUGGGUUCCCAGAUAUGUUAUUAGCAUCAAUGGUAAUUUUGGUGAUCCUUUAACCAAUGUUUAACCUCCGCUAAAAAAAAAUAUUGACGCUGGAGGGUCAUGCCUAAAGCAGCGACUUUAUUCACUGGCGUUAGCAUCCUUUUACCAACUCAGUUACGAACAUUUUUACUUUCAGAAUUAAAACAGCAUUUGCUCGAAGUAACUAGUAGCUAACGCCUCCUUUAACAUCGUUAAAUCCUCUGGAAAAAAAAUACACAAUCAUUUUUAUCAUCACAUCAAUACAUCGAGACACACAAGGCGCGUCAAUCCAACAUAAAUGCUUUUCAAUAUGUUACAUAUCUUAAGUUCCUGCACAAUGAGCAUGAAUUAAAAUGAUUAUUAUUCCCAAAAUUCAAAUGAAGUAAUACAUACACUCUUCGCUGUAAAAGAGUGUAUACUGUAAACUUAUCCAUUUUUUAACGUUUUUUUUCUUUUACAGUGUAGGUGUCUUGCUCGGGGGCACUAUACAGGUUCACAGGUCUCAUGUUGCUCCUCUAAAAGAUUUAUAACUUCUUAUAGUAUUCUUAUUUAUACUUAUAAAAGACUGCAUUAUGUUUGAUGUAAGUUAGAAAAGUUAAAUUGAGAUCCAGAAUCAGCCUGGAUGUUAAAAUACACAUCAAUAUUAUUAUAAAACUAACAUGAUUUACCCUAAAAUUACAAAGAAAAUUACUAAAUUGUUAGUGGGGAUAUAAACCUUUUAUAUAAUAAAGUAUUGUUAUUUUACAUGAUUCGAUUGUAAUUUAAGAAAACAAUAAAAUACUCUAGAAUAGAGUUUUGUAGAUAAUGUUUUUAAUUAUGAUCUUUUUUUACAGUGCGACUUGUCCGAGAUGAAAAUAGCCCCUCAGAAAUAUUUUAAGUGUGCAAUAAUUAUCAUGGUCUGAAUGUGAGGCAGCCCAGGGAGUUUAGCACAGGUGUUCCUGCUGGCCUCUUUUGCUGUUAAGCAACAUGUUCAUGUCAUCUGUGGAAAGGUUUCCCAACCAUGUAGUGAUAGAAAUUAAAUGACUUUAUCUCCAAGGGAGUUGUUAAGGUGCUGCAGCAGCGCAGAGCCGAACCAAUCUCAUUUUUGCUUUUUCCCUAAAAUGAUUUAGAGAGCUGCCAAAGGUGUGCAUAAUGGAGAGUAUUUGAAAGAACGUUUGCGUCACUCACAACAGAUAGAGAACACUUUUACGUUGUACUUGCUUGACAAACCUUUAUGAGACCAAUCUUGUCAGAGCAAGUAUGUGAAGAAGAUUAGUGUGGAAGGAAAGAUGGGGAAAUGGAGAAACCUCAUCAAGGAAAGUCCUCCUAUUUCUAGUUGAGAGAUUGGGUUGAAGAGAGUGAAAUGAUGAAGCGCGAACGUGUGCGGUUAACCUGAACGACUUUGAUCAUCUUCAGUGACCAGCUUCAGAAUUGAACUUAAACCCUCCGUUUGAAAAAAUUCACAGCGCUUGGGUCGAGGACAGGGCAAACCCAUUUUCCCUCACCUGCAGUACUCAGAAACACCUGAUUAACUGCGCAAGUGAAGAAAGGGCUAGCUGGGUUUGAACGUUGGGGUCAGGGAUAUUUCAUGCUAACAUUCCCUAGAAGUUAAUUGACACCAGGGGGGCCCCAAUAGGUUUAGGCCAACAUAUUAUACUUUUUACUUAUACUUAAGAUACAAGAAUAAAAGUCUGUUUCCGGGAAAAACAUCCCCAUGGUAUGCAAGACAAUACUUACGACUCUCGUCAGUUGAAGAACAAAACUGUAUUGAUCAGCUAAUGCCAGAAAUUAAUGGCUGAAAUGUAAAUACAAAAUAUGUAUGAUUUAUGGAGCCAGAUGCUGUGUUUGCAUUAGGUUUGUUACGCCUCCCUUAGUCUAGGUGUAAGGGAGCGCAACCCCCGCAAACAUGAGCCCUGAUGAACGCGGCGACCAGAGGUAUGGGGUCGUGGUGUGAGUGACGACUACUGACACAGGCAAACGGUGUAAACAAAAUAGGAGGUUUACUCUCUCCUUAAAAGGAAAAACCAAACAAAUGUUCAGGGGAAAAGGGGCUGGGCGAGACCAAAGAAACAAGCAAAAAGGGUGGGUUAACUAACUAACUAACUCUCUCUCAUUCAUAUAUAUAUAUAUAUAUAUA
ensembl:lncRNA